UGGUUCUCGCAUCGAUGAAGAACGCAGCGAAUUGCGAUAUGUAAUGUGAAUUGCAGAAUUCAGUGAAUCAUCGAAUCUUUGAACGCAUCUUGCGCCCUUUGGUUACUCCGAAGGGCAUGCCUGUUUGAGAGUCAUUAUUAUUCUCAACUUCAGAGUUUGCUUGUUAGACUUUUGAAGCUUGGAUAUGGGGGACUUAUGCUGGCAUUUUAUGUGCUAGCUCCUCUGAAAUACAUUAGCAGAACCUCUUUUUGACUCUGGUUUGAUAAAUGAUAUCUAUACCAUUGCUGAAGAAUGUGUUCAGCUUCUAAAUGACUUGAAAGUCUUAAUUUGAAACUUGACCUCAAAUCAGGUAGGACUACCCGCCGA
rnacentral:misc_RNA from 1 species